AAGCCUUAGUUACUACCAUAGUGAACCUUAGGUACUACCAUAGUGAACCUUAGGUACUACCUUAAUCAACCUUAGGUACUACCUUAAUCGACCUUAAGUAUUACCAUAGUUAAACUUGGGUACUACUUGUGCGAAGCUUCGAAACUUCAUUUGUGAACAUUUGUGAGACUUAGUUACUUCAUUUGUGAGCCUAAGGGUUACUAAGGUAGUACCUAAGGGUUACAAGGUAGCACCCAAGGUUCACUAAGGUGGUAUCCAAGGUUCACUAAGGUAGUACCUAAGGUUCACUAAGGUAGUACCCAAGGUUCACUAAGGUAGUACCGAAG
rnacentral:lncRNA from 1 species